rnacentral:rRNA from 1 species
CUACGACGAGUACGGGUUUUGAGAGCAAGAGCCCGGAGAUGGAUUCUGAGACAUGAAUCCAGGCCCUACGGGGCGCAGCAGGCGCGAAAUCUUUACAAUGCAGGAAACUGCGAUAAGGGGACCCCGAGUGCCAGCAUCUAAUGCUGGCUGUCCAGCUGUGUAAAUAGCAGUUGUUAGCAAGGGCCGGGCAAGACCGGUGCCAGCCGCCGCGGUAACACCGGCGGCCCGAGUGGUAACCGGUAUUAUUGGGUUUAAAGGGUCCGUAGCCGGCCUGUUAAGUCUCUUGGGAAAUCUGGCGGCUUAAUCGUCAGACGUUCAAGAGAUACUGGCAGGCUUGGGACCGGUAGAGGUGGGAGGUACUCCAGGGGUAGAGGUGAAAUUUUGUAAUCCUUGGAGGACCAUCGAUGGCGAAGGCAUCCCACCAGAACGGGUCCGACGGUGAGGGACGAAAUCUGGGGGCACGAACCGGAUUAGAUACCCGGGUAGUCCCAGCCGUAAACGAUGCUCGCUAGGUGUCAGGCGCGGUGCGACCGCGUUUGGUGCCGAAGUGAAAACCUGAAGCGAGCCACCUGGGAAGUACGGUCGCAAGGCUGAAACUUAAAGGAAU